CACGGGAGAAGCAGAGGAGGCAUGACCCACAGCACGGCCGGCAUACAUGAUACCAGCGCCGCGUCCUCUGCACUUUCAAAUCCCUUUUGCUUAUGGUGGAGCUGCAUGUCAUGAGGUGUUUCAUGUGGGUUAAAUGUGCAGCGGUAGGGAGAAUAGAGCUCCUUCCUGCGCACCGUUCCGCAACCGAAACAGCGGGCGAGGAGUGCGCCAAGAGCUGACCCCAGCCUGCGUGGGGCAAGUUCAAACGGAUGCCGCAGAUCGGAGACUUUGGUGCAUUGUCUGAUGCUUUGGAUAAGCUGGGGGAUCUGAACCAGAACUCCCUUCUGCCGAGAGGCCUUGCAUUGAGCCAAUUACAAUCAAGGGGUUAUCGAUCUUCGAAUCAAAGGCCGGGCUAUAACGUGCUUGUUUCUUACGCAGCACAUCCGCGUUGUUUUUUCAUGGACAAAGCUCACUAUUUCUGAUCAAUCAACAAAAACAUGCAUUGCCCCAGACUCGAACGAAGAAAAAAGAGGCAAUAAUCAUGAAUCCCUCUGUGUGGAGGUGUGGAAAAUAAGUCAUUACAUAGGCUAGAAAUUUAUAUGGUAAACAUGUUGCACAUCUGUUGACGAACAAGCCCCUUAACCAGUUGGUGUGGGUUUAGAGGCUGGAUGCCUAGAGCUUGACUGUCAGGUUAGGGCAUCAAGGCCUCAUAGACUCUGGUAUUGAGAUUUCCACUUAUGUUUCUGGCGUGUGCAGGGACUUAUUUUGCACGCCUCCAUACUUCUGUACAGAUUCUUUGCCUUAGGAUCUGGCGGCGACCACGCUUGGACUCAGUCACCUUUCAGGCACAAAUAUCUGAUCUAUUGUUAGGAAAGCGCAUGGAAGCAAAGGCAUCUUCCCGUUUUGCUUCCUUUCACGGGCUUGGAAGGGGAUGGAUAAUCACACCUGCUAAGAGUCCUUAAUUUUUUAUAGCUGUAAGUUAGCACAAAUAUCUUCAUUACAUACAAAAUUACCAUAUCAUCGACAGCUACAUGCCAUUGAUAGAUACCAUCACUAGAUAGUAUCAACUUAUUUAUACUGACAGAAUUACAUGCAGAGUUUGAUAUCUUCGUAUCAAUAUAUAUAUAUAUAUAUAUAUAUAGAGAGAGAGAGAGAGAGAGAGAGAGAGAGAGAGAGAAUACUAAGUAUACAGUGUUAAUCAUUUAAAUGAUAAACAAGCUCACAACUAUCGCUGAGAAUCAAAGGUUAAGUAGAGAACGGACUAUCCCUAGUAAUAAUAAAUCAACAAUCAGUCUCUACUAGCUACUAUUACAAUCAUUUCUCACUUUAAUUUAUUAUCACUUUAUUUACAGCUGAUUAACACUCUAUAAUAGUAUAGUUUUUCAUAGCUAUUUUUUUCAUUAAUUUUUUUUUUUUUUUAAAAUAUUAUGUAUGGUUUGUAAUUGAUUGCCGAAUAAAACAAAUAUAGUUUUUUAAAAAGGGAAAAUGGGGAAAGAAAGAAAAGACACAAAAGGCAAAAAACAAAAGAAGAAAAAUACAAAAAUCUCAGGAAAUGGAAUCAACAAGUACCAACUUUCAGUGAGUGAAAUGAUGAUGAAUAUUAGAAGAAUGCAGAUGAUGAUAUAAAAUAAGUCAAAAGAUGACACAGGCUUAAACUAGAUCAAAAUAAAAACUCCAUAAAAACUACAUAAACCAUAAACCAUAAAAAUGGGGAAAAAAGGGAAUGGAAGCCCGAUAAGAAAUUUAUAAUUUCAUGUCCAUUUUGUUCUGAUUUCCCCCUCUUUUCCCGCAACGGAUAGCUACCUCUGUAUUAAUUUCAAUUUUCCUUUUUUUCCUUUUCAUGCUCAAAUAGGUAAUAAAAGGUACAUAAGUAGAAAUGGAAUUAAGGGGAGGGAAGAACAGUGUAUGUCAAUAAAAUGUUCCACCAGGCAUAUAUCCCUUCCUCCAUCCCUUAAUUUCUUUGCACAGUUUGAUUUCGCCUCGCUAUACCUUGUCCGAUAGUGUGUUCGUAUGCUUCUCUUCCUUAUGAAUUGGUAUAUUAUGUGUUAUGCAGGAUAUCGCGUAGGUGAGAAAGUGUGUACGGUUGGCAAUGCGUAAAUCCUUUGAAGCGCGUGUCGAGAUGAAAAACAACUUACACCCUUCGAUCCCAAUUGGUAUAGCUAUUGAUAUAAGAGGGUUUAUUUUAGGUUAGUAUAUUAACCUCCAGAUUCUAGCACGCAUGUCUCCACUUCCAGUAGCGAAUAGGUUACCAGUUGGGCUGGGUGCGACAGAGAUAACCGAAUUCUUAUGGCCCUGCAGCAUCAUCUGCGCGUUCCCAGUCGCUGGGUCCCAGAACUGCACUCCACGAUCCUUGGAACCGCUCAUUACCCAGCGUCCAUCCGGUGUCAAGCAGACACUAAGAACGAAGUCCUUAUGACCCUCAAACGUUCGAACACACUUUCCGCCCUUGGGUCCCGCGCCGGGUACCAUACCCCUCGGUGGCGUCAACUCCCACAUCUUAAUAGUCUUAUCCAAACUGCCGGAGACUAGAUCUCUGCCAUUGGGCGCAAAGGCAACGGAGUAAACGCUAUCCAUGUGGCCAUCUGGGUUUUCUAGGCGUUCGACAAGGUAUCCAGUCGUCGUAUCCCAGACCCGAACGCUCUUAUCCAGAGACCCGGCAGCAACGAAGCGCCCGUCAGGUGAGAUUGCGACAGUGGUAACACCGUCUUCAAUGCUGAGAAUGAGCUCUUGUUUGCCAUCGACGAUAUCCCAGAGGCGAACGGUUUUGUCACCCGAGCCGGACGCGAUGUAGCGUCCAUUGCGGGCGAAGUCGAGGGAGUAGAUGUCUUGUUCGUGACCGGAGAAGAUGUGUUUGAUGGUUCGGGUAGCAAUAUCCCAUACUCUGAUUUGUUUGUCCUCUGCGCCGGUAGCCAGAUAUCUGCCAUCAGGGCUGAAGCAGACGCUGCGGAUAUAGAGGUCUCCUUCUUUAUCAAGCACACUAUCAUCCUGCAAAGCAGUUACCAGCUGUCCAGUCGCAACAUCAAAUAUCUGCGCAGAGCGGUUGCAACCAGUAGCAACAUAUUUGCCGUCAUUGCUAAAUCUUACACAGCAAACAACGCUAUCGUGAACGAGGUGAUGGACAAGGUCGACAUCCAGGACGCGAGGCACUUCAGGGUUGAAAACGGCGUACCAGUCGGAACCUUCUCGCUUUUGGCUCGGGGGAAGCUUGUCAGGGUCUAAAUCCGCCAAUGUAUUUCCAACGCGAUAACUCAAUUGCUGGCCAGGGGGUGUGGGACGGUGGAUCUGAGGUGAUGCGCGUGGGUCGGGAUAAGCAACCUGGUGAUUUUGCUGAGGGGUUGCCGGGCCGGGUGCGCGAUUGGCUCUGCCUUUUCCAGCGCCUGGAGAAGUCGUGGGAGGUGGAGGACCAUAUCCAUUGACCGCCGAGGUGGGCUGAUAUCCUCCAAACGCACCUUGCUGUGGUUGAGGGGCCCCUUGGGCACCGGACCCGGGUUGUUGAAGCGCGUGCUGGGGUGGCUGUUGGUCUGGCGGAGGAGGUGGCGCAAGCGCAGGAGCUCCGCCUCCUGGGUUGGCCAUGAUGCCACCGAAUAGGUUCGCAGGGCCAUGGCCAAGAGCUGGAGGGGGGGCUUGGGAAGGCCCGGCAUGUGUUGGUAGGCCCCCAAUAUGGGAUUGAGGAAGAUGGACGCCGCGAGAUUCAAGUUCUCUUCGCAAGGUGCGUAUUUCAGCCUCAUAUUCUUGUUUCAUUUUUAUCUGCGCUUGUUCCAACUGGUAAACCUUUUGCCUGAUCAUUUCCAUCUCCUGGAGCUGUCCAGUCAAUUGAUGCUCGAAUUCCCCAGUACUCCGCGAUUGGUUCUCAUAUUCCUGUCGUAGCUGGUCCAGUAACUCUGUUAAACGAGAGUUAGGACCGCCAACCAUGCCACGAUGUGCGUUGUACAUGGUUUCGCUUGGUGAUCUUUUCUUUUUUGUCUUUGGCGGGUUUUUUUUGGCGAUGGACGGCGCUCAAGCCUUCAAGGGGCGUGGUUGGCCGUAUGUAAUUUAGGUUACCCUUUCCCUUCUGCUUUUAAAAUAUGCUUAGACGGAAGGGGUUGUAUUUGGAGGGGUGCGAUGACGCCGGUUGGGUUGGACCUCGUAAUGGUGAUUGUAGUGAUGGGUUUAGCAGGAUUUGAGGGUGAGCUAUGUGGCAGGAGGAUUGAUAAAGUCAGUGCAUCUGGGCUGCAAUCGUAUAGGAAGACCGCAACUAUAGAUGAGUAUGAUGUGGAGAUGUGCGUUGAUGUUGAUGAUGAGGAUGAGGAUGGAGACUGAGGAUGAGGAGGUGAGUUGAAGUUUGUUUGCGUUGGCUGGGGAGGAGACAAGCGCCGCUAGUUACCGAAUCGAGAAUGAGGCUGAGAUUUGACGCCAGAAGCGAAGUGGGACGGCUCUUGGCUAUCGCGCAAAGUUGCAGGAAAGAUACAAACAAGGAUAAUAUGCGGAAACAAACUAAUAAACUGGUUGCGACGGCAGAUAUAAGGAGGGCAGAUAUGGGCGAGAGUAGAUGUUAACAACACUUGCCAAGGCGGAGAAGAGGAUAGAGGAGAGGAGAGGGAAGUGGCAGAUGGAUAGUAUUGAUGAUUCCUGACAGAUUGCCGUGCCCGUGAUCCGUGCUUCGGCUGAUGGAACCCUGGGAAAGGAGCAAGGCAAUUCCAAGGAAGAGCACAAACCAUAUAGCGAACGAACCUACAGUACAACUGGCAUGGUGAUACAACGACAACACCAGCAGGGACUCCAGUUUCAGACUCGAAGUGCGUUGUAUUUCCAUGGGCUGUUCCUUGGGCCCUCCCUUUGGCGCUUCCUUGGGCUAUCCCGCGGUAAGCUUUGGGCAAGAGGCAAAGGUAGGUUGUCAAUAUUCGGGUUGGGUGGAUAAUCUGUACCCAAGCGAAAGCUAGAAUAAAAAGGAAGAUUUCCAGACUAGGGUUGUUUUUUUUUUUUUUUGAGGCUUGUUUUUACUUUUUUCCAUACAUGUACCUGUACCUGUAUGCAGUGUAAAUAUGCGCCAGUAUUAUUUAUUAUCCCUUUCCCGAAGCUGAGGCUUGCACCGUGUAUUACUUACUACUAAUACAUGCAUCACUUCAUCUCAUGCAACUUCAUUGUUUUUUUUAUCAUUGUUUUUGAAAACCAAACUAGAUGGAGAUCCGUAGAAGUCCGAUCCCAUCGCUCGGAAUAAUGCAAACCAUAUCUAUCUCGCGGAAAGUCUGCGCAUGGUUGGGGCAAGGUGGAUUGCGGCAUGAACAAAAACCCAGCAGCUGAGUAUGAGAGGAAGAGGUCAAGUUAGUCUUCGAUUGGCAAUUACAGCCACUUCCCCAACAUGCCCAUGGACUCGCAGACAACAUAACUGUGAAUAUUGUAGAAGAAAUUGAAAUGAAAAUCUCAAUACUGGAGUUCGACCGAAUCAGUUCUCACACCAUAAGAUUAUGGGUAUGGGACCUUGAUGUCGAACAGGCCAAAACACAUAAGACA
rnacentral:sRNA from 1 species